UGGAGGGGACAAACAGCACCGGGAAGUGCUUGGUGGCCUCCAAGCUCUACGAGGGGGUGCCGCUUCCCUUCCACACCCCUCCGGAGCCGGCACAAGACGCGGAGCCGCGGAUGGUGCUGGUGGCCUGCGGUCCCUACACCACGUCCGACAGCAUCGCCUACGAUCCCCUUUCCGACCUCGUGGACGUCAUCGUCCGGGAUAAACCCCACGUCUGC